UUAGAGUGGGAAGUUAUCUUUGUUUCUUUCUCUCUUCUCUCUCUUUCUAAAGGCCCUGAAGGAGCAAACUUGUUCAUCUACCAUCUGCCACAAGAGUUUGGUGAUCAGGAUUUGCUACAGAUGUUUAUGCCUUUCGGCAAUGUUAUCUCUGCCAAGGUCUUUAUUGACAAACAGACCAACCUUAGCAAGUGUUUUGGCUUUGUUAGUUACGACAAUCCAGUUUCGUCCCAGGCAGCCAUUCAGUCAAUGAACGGUUUUCAGAUUGGAAUGAAGCGACUGAAGGUGCAACUUAAGCGAUCCAAAAAUGACAGCAAGCCAUACUGAGUCAUUUUACUCUCAAAUGGACUUGGUUUAAAAAAGUUUUUCUGGUAAGUGGAGUGUGACGUUGGAAAGUUAGAAUGACCCCACCCACCCUUAACACCCGCCUUUCCUAAUCCUUCUUUUACUUCUCUGGCCUUUCCUACAUAUCUUCUGUCUUAACCUUCAAAACAAAGACAACAUGCAAAUUAAGAAUUUGUUCCUAGGAGAAAAGAGUUCUUUUUUUUCAUAUUUAUAGAUCUAAUUGUUUUGUUGAUCUUUUAUUUUCCCUUAAAUCUUUUAUUUUAUUUUAUUUAUUAUUGUUUUUAUUUUUAUUGUGCCAUAUUACAAGUUUGCUGUGUAUAAAUCUUGAAUCAAAGGAUGUUGCACAGUGAAGGCCAGCCUGUGUGACUGCUUUCUGUCACUUAGACUGUUAAUCACCACUGGUCUGGCCCCUGUAGAUGUUCUCCUGUGUUUACACUAGACUCUUGUAGUACAUUGGGACAGUGUAAUGCUGAUGCCUCCUACAAUGCUGCCUUUCUAGAAAAUGAAGGAGGCUUGCUGCAUCGGUGCAAAAGAUAAUCAAUCAGUCACCUGAAUAUUGUUUUGAGCAUCUGGAAGGUCAGGCUGCACUCCACUAGACUCCGUUUUCAUGGAUGCCUUUUUAUUUAAUUCAUGUAUUUAUUUCACAAAUUUAUUUAUUUAUUUUUCAUGUAUCUGUGUCUUCACAAUGAGGGUGAUGUAACAUUGCUUCAAAGUCUGUUUUAUGUAUUCUGUUGGAGGGCUCAGCUAACAACAGUAAUGUUGAUUCUUUCUGUUUGCUUUUAUUCACAUUAAUAUUUUUACAUUCUAGAAAGACAAACACUAAGCAAGGGUAUUAUAUCACAUAUAUUAUAUCAUUCAGUAUUGGUAGUUUGCAGGAGAUGCUACACUUAAGCUCAGGACAUUCUCACCGUUCUGUCAGACCAAAACUUCUUGCCCAUUAUUUUACUCACCUGGUACACGAAAAUACCUAAAGAACAUGUAUGAAAGAGUGCUUCAUUUCAGUUCAUGAAUCCUUUCUUAAAGCCUCAAAGAAAAACAAAACAUUUUUUUGACCCAAGAUUUUUAUUCUUUGGAAAUUGCUGAAGAAUCACAUGGUAGCGCGUAUGGUUUUAAAAUGGCUUUUGUAUAGAUUUUUUUUUAGCAAAGACACAAUCUUCAGCGCGUGUUUUUUAAAUUUUAUUUUGAUGGUCGUUUGAUACAUUAUCCUACGCCUCAAUUCAAGAGGUUGGCAUUGAAGCUUUUAGCAAUAUCUGCAUUCUGGAGAAGAGAGAUGAUACUGCCAAGAACAGAAGGAAGGAAGUUUACAAUUGCUGAAUUCAUAGCCACUUAAUUGUCAGAAUAAUUUGAACUGAAAUUUCGUAACGUUUGUCAAGUAUUUUAUCUCGGUGUUCGCAGGUGGUCUCUUGUACCCUGGUGUAUUGAGACUCGUCCUGCAAUCCUCAUCACACUUUGUAUUUAUAAGUUACUCCAUGCAACUUGUUUUAGUUGAUCAUGGCAGUAAAUAAGUGUUCAAAUUGUAAUCGGAUGUUGAUGCUAAUCUGAAUCCUGCAGGGUCGUGAGGUGAGAUUGUUUUUAUGGAAACUGAGAAGAAAACAUUAUCCAGAUUGUGUAUAUUACUUAACUAUUAUGCCUUUUCUAUUUUUAUAGGGGUUUUAUAAUAUUGCCUAAAUAAUUUCUCUGAAUUAAAACGGUUGUUUGAAAAAAAUCAACUCAAAAGAUUCGACAGUGUUUUUGUAGACUCCUAACGUGAAGUUUUGUGGAUACAUUCAACGGAUGUGUGGCCCUUUUCACUAGUUGUAGUCGUCGGUUUAGUCAAAAAAAAUAAUUGUACCAAGAGUCGUUUUUAAAUUCUGAAGCAAAUCCACGGUUCAGUCUAAAGUUUAUACUCCGUGUAAUAUCUCUAAACUAUUUACAUGUGUAGUGACGAAUGCUGAAAUGUGCUAUUAUCAGAAAUCAUUUAAUUUUCUCACAACAUAGCUUGAGCUCGGAGUUGCAAUUAGUGAAAAUUGUAUUUUGUAGGCUGUUUUCUUUUUGUUUUGACAUUUACCUCACUAUUGUCGUCACUGUUCGAGAACGCUUUGUAUUUAUUAACAGUGCUUUUUAUUUUCACGGAUUAAUUGCAAAUAAGCCAAUUCUUGUUAACCUCACAAUCUUUCUAUUUUCUACGAGUACAGACACGCAUCUCAAUCCAGGUGAGGAAACGAGUUUGCCACUAUUGCGACUUGUACAGAUAUGCCGGUCUGUAUGCCUCACCGUUUGUUUCAUGCACUAGAGACGCUUUAGACUGAACCCAAGUGUGAAGCCCCUCUUGAAGCGCUUAGAUGCUAGUGCAGGGAAUGGCCAGUCCCUGAUCUGUGCCUCUGUUCAAAUAAACACAUGAUUUACGUGCAUUACAAAUCAUUAAGUGGAAGAAAAAUGGGAAGGCCUCGGACAUGUCUGGGUGCAAAACAAAUCACCAUUUUGACCAAUCCAAAGAUUCUUGUGAACUUGUUCUAGGCAGGGAUUUUUGUUUGUUAGGCAGAAUUUUUUUUUCAGUUUUGUUCCUUUUAUCCAGAGCAGAUUGACAGGCGUUUGUGCAACGUUCUGCGGAUUUGUGCGCCUUAAAACAGCUCACAAAUGCAGAGUAGUUCCACUAAUGUGCCAAACACAUCAAGUCUUAAAUUUCUGUAUAUGUUUAAUGAUGAUCCUCUGUUCCUUGCUCUGUGUCCCAUCAUGUUGUUGUUCAAUGUAGCUAAAUUGUGUCCAUUUGUGUUACCCAUGGCAGGUGUUUUGUGAUUGAGAACCAAUAUGAGCAGCUCCAAAUAUGCAUUAUUCCACAGUCCCACACAAUUCAAAAUUGAAGCACA